AUCGCUUCUCGGCCUUUUGGCUAAAAUCAAGUGUAGUAUCUGUUCUUAUCAGUUUAAUAUCUGAUAUGUUCUCUAAAUGAGGACGUUAUAUUAAGCAGAUUUUUAGAACAGAGAGCUGGAAUAAGGGCUUGCUCUUUCUGCUCCACGCAUCAACCUGGUAUUGCAGUAUCUCUAGGAAUGGUGCGCUUGUU